GCCGGAUUUCCCGGAGGAGCUGCCGGACCUACCACCCAGCCCUGGCCGCGAGGAGCCCAUGCUGCUGGACUUCCCAGGGGCUGACGCCAUGGACCAGUUCCAUUCCAGUUCAGGAGGCAGGACGAAAGUAUGGGUCAGGUUCGGGUCCAGAUCGUGGAGAAAAAUACUGGUUUGGAUGGAUUCUCCGGUUCCAGUUUGGUUCUGGAUCAGCUCAUGGCUCAGACUCCAUCCCACAGCCUUCCUGCUGGAGCUCCCACGAUGGUACAGCAGGCUUGUACCUACACUGCCGACUGCUGUUCCCUGUCUUGUAACCUUGGCCUCCCUGCCUGCCUGCCCAUAGACUGUGAGCUCCUCAGAGCCAGUGGGUUUGGAAAGCGCCAAGCACAUCAUGGGCACCACUGGCAUCAUGGGAUAUAAAAUGGCCAUGAGGAGGUUUAGAUUUGAAAUUAGACGAAGAUUUCUAACCAUCAGAAGAGUGAAGUUCUGGAACAGCCUUCCAAGGGGAGUAGUGGAGGCAAAAGAUGUAUCUGGCUUCAGGACUAAGCUUGAUAAGCUUAUGGAGGGGAUGAUAUGAUGAGAUUGGUCUUUGACUACUAGCGGUAAAUAUGCCCAAUGGUCUGUGAUAGGAUGUUGGAUGGGAUGGGAUCUGAGUUACUACAGAGAAUUCUUUCCUGGAUCCUGGCUGGUGAGUCUUGCCCACAUGCUCAGGGUUUAGUUGAUCACCAUUUUUGGGGUCGGGAAAGAAUUUUCCUACAGGGCAGAUUGGCAGAGGCCCUGGAGGUUUUUCGCCUUCCUCUGCAGCGUGGGGCACGGGUCACUUGUUGGAGGAUUCUCUGCACCUUGAAGUCUUUAAACCACAAUUUGAGGACUUCAGUAGCUCAGACACAGGUUAGGGGUUUGUUAUAGGAGGGGUGGGUGAGAUUCUGUGGCCUGCGUUGUGCAGGAGGUCAAACUAGGUGAUCAUAAUGGUCCCUUCUGACCUUAAAGUCUAUGAUUGUAUGAUUCAAAUAAUACACAAGUCAUUCCUUAGAUUAACAUAAUAACGGCCACCACAGAGCCAAGUAAUAGCUGCACAGAUACGAGGCCCAAGGGAAGACAUAGCCACUUGCAUUUUUUAACCUUUGUUCUAACUAGCCAGUAAACAAAGGUAAGGACUUCCCAUUCCUGGGCCCACUCUCCCUUUGCCAUUAGAUCUCUCCUUAAACCCGCUCUCAGCAGAAUCCUCCCCACCAGCAAUUGCUCUUCUGUGCUAGGCUGCGAGCCCAGUGACUUGAGGCUGGUGCUGGGUCUCCCUCCCUGGUCUCAAAGGUGCUGGGCACCUUCACAGCCCUGCAUUGAAAACAUCUGCUCAGUGUGCAGUGGGAGUCAGAACAGCUGACAAUGUUGGGAACUAUUAGGAAAGGGAUAGAUAAUGAGACGUUAAAUAUCACAAUGCUACUUCAUAAAUCCCUGGUACACCCACAUCUUGAAUACUGUGUGCUGUUCUGGUCACCUCAUCUCAAAAAAGAUGUAUUAAAAUUGAAAAAAGUACA